UACGUAGGGUGCAAGCGUUGUCCGGAAUUAUUGGGCGUAAAGAGCUCGUAGGCGGUCUGUCGCGUCGGCUGUGAAAUCCCGAGGCUCAACCUCGGGUCUGCAGUCGAUACGGGCAAACUGGAGUGUUGCAGGGGAGACUGGAAUUCCUGGUGUAGCGGUGAAAUGCGCAGAUAUCAGGAGGAACACCGGUGGCGACGGCGGGUCUCUGGGCAACAACUGACGCUGAGGAGCGAAAGCGUGGGGAGCGAACAGG
rnacentral:rRNA from 1 species